UGGAGACCUCUUUUUCCCCCUUGGUUUUUCUUUUUUCUUUUUUUUUCUCUUUUGACUCAAAUG
rnacentral:ribozyme from 13 species